rnacentral:rRNA from 1 species
GAUGAACGCUGGCGGCGUGCCUAAUACAUGCAAGUCGAGCGAACAGACGAGGAGCUUGCUCCUCUGAAGUUAGCGGCGGACGGGUGAGUAACACGUGGAUAACCUACCUAUAAGACUGGGAUAACUUCGGGAAACCGGAGCUAAUACCGGAUAAUAUAUUGAACCGCAGGGUUCAAUAGUGAAAGAGGGUUUUGAUGUGACUUAGAGAUGGAUCCGAGCUGCAUUAGCUAGUUGGUAAGGUAACGGCUUACCAAGGCAACGAUGCGUAGCCGACCUGAGAGGGUGAUCGGCCACACUGGAACUGAGACACGGUCCAGACUCCUACGGGAGGCAGCAGUAGGGAAUCUUCCGCAAUGGGCGAAAGCUUGACGGAGCAACGCCGCGUGAGUGAUGAAGGUCUUCGGAUCGUAAAACUCUGUUAUUAGGGAAGAACAAAUGUGUAAGUAACUAUGCACGUCUUGACGGUACCUAAUCAGAAAGCCACGGCUAACUACGUG